CCUACGGGUGGCUGCAGUCGAGAAUUUUUCUCAAUGGGGGAAACCCUGAAGGAGCGACGCCGCGUGGAGGAUGAAGGUCUUCGGAUUGUAAACUCCUGUCAUUUGGGAACUAGUACCAGAAGAGGAAGAGACGGCUAACUCUGUGCCAGCAGCCGCGGUAAUACAGAGGUCUCAAGCGUUGUUCGGAUUCAUUGGGCGUAAAGGGUGCGUAGGUGGCGUUAUAAGUCAGGUGUGAAAUCUCGGGGCUCAACCCCGAAACUGCACUUGAUACUGUAAUGCUUGAGUACUGGAGAGGAGAUUGGAAUUUACGGUGUAGCAGUGAAAUGCGUAGAUAUCGUAAGGAAGACCAGUGGCGAAGGCGAAUCUCUGGACAGUACUGACACUGAGGCACGAAGGCCAGGGGAGCAAACGGGAUUAGAUACCCUUGUAGUC
rnacentral:rRNA from 1 species